GAUGAACGACUGUGUAGGUCGGCGUUCUAACGGCUAAACGCUGGCUUGUCUACUAUCGGUGGAGGCUCUAGCACUGGUUUGUUGUGUGCAUUAGAAAGGAUUAACAGUGUUCUUUUGAAAAGGGUUUUGGUCACGCGGGGGUGACGAGUUGAAUUGAUGUGUUUGGGUUUGAUUGGUCUCGAUCGCGCGGGGGCGAGAAGUUAGGUUUGAUUUGUUUGAGAUGUUUUUGAAGAACGGA
rnacentral:lncRNA from 1 species